rnacentral:lncRNA from 1 species
GUGGGAAGGGCCCCACGCGUGUCGCGGGGAAAGGGGCCGGGACGCGGCAGGCCGGGCCCGCGGGGCAGCGCGCAACUUCCGCGGGGCGCGCAGGGAAGCGGCGGCCGCUCCCCGGGGGGGGCUCGGCGCAGCGCGGAGCUUCACCCACUUGAAACCCCCUCUUCGUGCGCUCUUUUAAGCUCGGCGGGCCCGGGCAGGAUGUUUAUACUGCGCAAUGUAAACACGGGCUCGGGGGUGCUUUAAUAAAAAGAAAUCGGCGAAAAGUCCCCGCUGCCGCGCGAAAUGCCCUUCCCUGCCUCCGCCGCCGGUCCCGGGAUGGGAACGGGCUUCGGCCCCCUCGCCCUCUCCGAGGUUUCUUUAGGGCUGGGUUGUUUUGGGUUGUUUUUCUCUCUCUCUCUUUUUUUUUUUUUUUUUUUUGGAGGGGGGGUGUUGUAUAUAAAUCUGUGCUGAACGUUUGCUGUUGAAUGCCAGGAGCCUGAUGCUCAGCUCCGUCGGAUGCCCCAGGCACACACACACACAUGCGAGGGGUGUGGGGGGGAAGGAGAAUGGGAAGGAAUAGUCCUCAGCCCCCCUUUUCUCCUCCUACCCCUUCCAAAAAAAAAAAAAAAAUAGCCCCUGUGAGCAUCUUCCCAUCGGGAGAGCUGUCACUCGCUCAUCAAGGUUUCUGGCCAGCAACUCCAGCGACUGCCACAGCCACGCUGCUCAUUUGGGGAUGUCGUGCACCGAGCUUCGAUCGGGUGCCAGCCAUGUGGGGUGGAGGAAGCCCACCCCUACCCCACUGCGGGUGGAGACAGGAAAGCCCUCACACUGGGAGAAAUAAACUCUGUUCUUUGACCAAAUGCUGUAUCUCUCAGAUCAUUUAUUUCACACCAUCUCCGCUGGCCUACUUGUAGUAGUUCAGCUCCUAGACUGGCCUCAGCACUAGGUAGGAAUUAUUAUUACCACCUGCUUGCCAAAGAGGAAACUUGGAGAAGGUGCAAUCAUGGUCUGGAAAUACUUUUGCAAUUAAAUACUUGAAAAUUUUGCAGAGAAAUCUUGCGUAGGAAAUGUAUGUCAUGCAGACUGUGUUGUCUCCACAGCAAGUACAGCACGUCACACCUGGCAGGUAAAGCCCACUGGUAUGUGAUGCCCAGCCACAUCAAUACCUACAAUUUAUCUUGUGCUCGUGUGUCU